AAAUUGAAGAGUUUGAUCAUGGCUCAGAUUGAACGCUGGCGGCAGGCCUAACACAUGCAAGUCGAACGGUAACAGGAAGCAGCUUGCUGUUUCGCUGACGAGUGGCGGACGGGUGAGUAAUGUCUGGGAAACUGCCUGAUGGAGGGGGAUAACUACUGGAAACGGUAGCUAAUACC
rnacentral:rRNA from 1 species